GACGAACGCUGGCGGCGUGCUUAACACAUGCAAGUCGAGCGAGGUCCAACCAGUGGCAACACUGGGGAAGACCUAGCGGCGAACGGGUGAGUAACACGUGAGCAACCUGCCCCGAAGACUGGGAUAACACCGGGAAACCGGUGCUAAUACCGGAUGCCCUCACCGGGCCGCAUGACCUGGUGAGGAAAUGAAUUUUGCUUCGGGAGGGGCUCGCGGGCUAUCAGCUUGUUGGUGGGGUAACGGCUCACCAAGGCUACGACGGCUAGCUGGUCUGAGAGGACGAUCAGCCACACUGGGACUGAGACACGGCCCAGACUCCUACGGGAGGCAGCAGUGGGGAAUCUUGCGCAAUGGGCGAAAGCCUGACGCAGCAACGCCGCGUGGGGGAUGAAUGCCUUC
rnacentral:rRNA from 1 species